GAUUGCAGGUUGUCAGGGCCCAAAGGAAAUCAUCUCAUACCCUUUGGGAUCUUUUAGUCGAGCAAACAAUCAAACAAGCAUCGGACAGAUUGCUAAGAGCAAAGGUCAAAACAAAGUUGAAUAAUAGCAUGCAGACCUCCUGUGUGCACGGGAGGGACUUGGCAUGACUAACGUGCCCAUGUGGCUCCAGAUGCCAUCUUAAACAUCUCAGCUAAGAUCGAAGGACUUGGAGGGGAGAAAGGGAAACUCUUUUAGGGAGUUACCAGGGAAGGCACGGUAGACAGAGGUAUGCCGAUUAUGUUCUGCCUUCUCCACUCAACAGAUAGGAGACAGGUCUUUUAGGUCUUCCCUGUACAUGACCUUACAGAGGUUUGUAGGAAAAUAUCUUUUACUAAAACAACCUCCACCAGCCUCCAGAAAUCCUCCCAAGAAAUCAACCUUUUGACAAAGACCUAUUUUAUGAUGGCAGAUUUGCUCCUCUACAAGCUCCUGAGCAUAAAGCUGAAAUGGGAGGGUGUCUUUUGCUAUUCAUAGCAAAUCCCUGUCAGCCAAACCUGAGUUAACGAGGAAGCUGGAAUUCUGCCACAACCAUCUCUACUCCUCCCCAAGCUGUCUGGAGUCAUGGCCUCUACAGCUGGAUUAGUGCAGCUUUACAGUCUGAUGUGACAAGGAAUUAAAUGUUUGUGACAA